ACCUCACUGAACCUUUUUUUGGCCUUAGAAUCCCUGUUUUGGGGCCUGCAGGAAGUAGCAACCAACCCGAGCCUCCGCAGGGAAUGCACUGACCUGUAGAAUGGACGUUCAGCUUCCCUCCCUGUGUCUCAACACGAUUACAUUUCAGGAACAGCCUGGGCUGGGAGGCACUGCGCACGCGCGCCGAGUCGGGCGGAAAAAUAAACGAGUUGAUGGAAGACUGAACAUAACUUUACCCAGGAGGGAAAACGAAAGAACCCGAAGGAUCCCGAGGCUUUCCUGUCUGAGUACCGCUGCACACACCGCGCCUCGGAGUCCCCGCCCCCUACCCUCUGAUUGGCUGCUGUGCAGAACGCGCGGUAGGAUUGCUUUGUGAGCCGCGAAUGAAGUGGCCGGACGGGGCCGGGGGGCGGAGUGAUUGGCACGGUGGCUAUAGGUUCUCACCCUUGGGAGGAUGCCAUGGAAACCAAAAGGAGCCUCUCCCGACUCUCCGAUUAAUUCUCUAAGCAUGCCUCUUGCAGACACAACCCACGCACUCUUUAAAACAUCUGAAUGGAUCAGUUUGAAUGAACCAUCGCAACCUCAAAAAGAUCAAGACGUGAGAGGAGGCACACUUGCGCUACCAGAAAAUAAAGAUGCUUGUUAACUGU
rnacentral:lncRNA from 1 species